AAAUUGAAGAGUUUGAUCAUGGCUCAGAUUGAACGCUGGCGGCAGGCCUAACACAUGCAAGUCGAACGGUAACACAGAGAGCUUGCUCUCGGGUGACGAGUGGCGGACGGGUGAGUAAUGUCUGGGAAACUGCCUGAUGGAGGGGGAUAACUACUGGAAACGGUGGCUAAUACCGCAUAACGUCGCAAGACCAAAGAGGGGGACCUUCGGGCCUCUUGCCAUCAGAUGUGCCCAGAUGGGAUUAGCUUGUUGGUGAGGUAACGGCUCACCAAGGCGACGAUCCCUAGCUGGUCUGAGAGGAUGACCAGCCACACUGGAACUGAGACACGGUCCAGACUCCUACGGGAGGCAGCAGUGGGGAAUAUUGCACAAUGGGCGCAAGCCUGAUGCAGCCAUGCCGCGUGUAUGAAGAAGGCCUUCGGGUUGUAAAGUACUU
rnacentral:rRNA from 1 species